GACGAACGCUGGCGGCGCGCCUAACACAUGCAAGUCGAACGAGCGAGAGAGAGCUUGCUUUCUCAAGCGAGUGGCGAACGGGUGAGUAACGCGUGAGGAACCUGCCUCAAAGAGGGGGACAACAGUUGGAAACGACUGCUAAUACCGCAUAAGCCCACGACCCGCCAUCGGGUAGAGGGAAAAUGAGCAAUCCGCUUUGAGAUGGCCUCGCGUCCGAUUAGCUCGUUGGUGAGGUAACGGCCCACCAAGGCGACGAUCGGUAGCCGGACUGAGAGGUUGAACGGCCACAGUGGGACUGAGACACAGCCCAGACUCCUACGGGAGGCAGCAGUGGGGAAUAUUGCACAAUGGGGGAAACCCUGAUGCAGCGACGCCGGGUGGAGGAAGAAGGUCGUCGGAUAGUAAACUCCUGUUGUUGAGGAAGAUAAUGACGGUACUCAACAAGGAAGUGACGGCUAACUACGUG
rnacentral:rRNA from 1 species